CUAGAAACGCAGGACAAAGAGCCCAGCCCUCGUUUCCCGUUCGCUGCCUUCGUCCCCGAUUCCUCUCCCUCUUCCUCAUCUGCCGCCGCUGUCACUCACCGAGCCCUCCGCCACAGCCCAAGCACAACCGCCGCACUCUCCAAGAGCGAACUGCAGGGCGCUUGCUCACGCAUGCCACAUCGAUCGAUUUUACCGUGCUAAAAUAAAAAAAAAAUACUCCCUCCUCAUUCGCCCUCUCCUUCGUUUUCUCCUCCCGGCGGCUAGGGUUAGCGCGGCCGCCGCCCCAUCCCUGCUCGCCGCCGCCUCUGCCUCAUCGUCCCAUCCCAUCACUUCCGAUGUCGGCCACUGGAGAAGGCGCCCCCCUAAGACCCUCUUCUUCCCCAAGCCUUAUAUCUUCGAGUUCUAGCCGGCCACCAUGGUGGUUGCAGAGGACGGGAGCAAGGGGAUGGCAUCGAGGGGCUCUGCCCACUUCUUCGUGUGCGGCCGCCGAUGCAGCUCCACCUCCAUCCCCACGCUUGCAGCCGUGGUGGUUCACGGUGCCGUCGCCGUCUUACUUGGCAGGAGCAACGCGCUCGAUGCUGCUCCAAUGUUGCCGUGAAGUGCUGCUUCGCCUUGGUUGUCCCAACUCAGCCAUCGCUGGAGGCUUGCACUUCUGUAGCCAUCUUGUUUACGACUGGUUAGUUCCUGUACUUGAGGGUUCCUUUAUUCCAAAUUAGUUGCAAGUAGGCCGUGGAUGCAUAGCAUGGCUCAUUGGAUGUAAUUGCUUGGAGAUAGGCAAACAAAUAAAUCCCAAUGAGAUGUUCUUUGUGUUGGAUUCGUUGGAUAUUUUUUUCAAGGAGGUUGUUGCCGGAGGAUACUGCUAGCAAAUGUGCAGGCCUCGUAAUUGGAACUAGCGGAUAAAGGUUGAAAUCUGGUUUGCUAGCAAAAAUAUUUCUAUACACACUGAUGCAACUACUAGCAGAUAGCAAUGCGGGCUGCAGAGACGGCUGGCUUCGUCCUGCUCUUGUCUCGCUGCGACCGCCCGACGAAGGAGAGAGGCAUCAACAGGAGAAGCACGACGCACAUUUUGUUUCUCUAUGCCUACAAGGUGUUCUGCGUCCACUUCCACGGCUCCAACAUAGCAUGGGAACAUGAGCAAUUCUUGAGGUUUAGGGUGACUGUACUAAGUCUAUGGAAUUGUCCACACCUCCUGAAUUUUUGGAAAGUGCUGGUUGUUUGUAUGACAAUAGGAUUCCAGAUUCAGUGAUUCGUGGUUUUACUCCUUCUGGUGUCCUCUAACUGGCAUCCAUUGAGCUGCUCCGACAUUGACUGCAGGAAAGAAGUUUCAAGAGGUUAAGAAAGCUUAUAUGAGGUACUUGAUGUUUGUUCAGCAUGGAUGCUCAAUCUGAGGAUGUACAACUUUCAAGGCGCACGACAGUUUUGAUCAAUUAUCUGCGUCAACACGGAAAGGCGGCGGAGCGAUCUGGACAAUAUGCCUGGUGUCGGUUUUCUCGCCAUUUUGCGACCAGCGCCUCUGCAGGUAUCUGGAUGUUUCUAGCCAGAAGACUCGCAACCUCUACUUAUACAAUGGAUUGACUUUGUUUGUCGGAUGGCUGGCCCUUAUCGUCAUGUCAAUCGAACUCUAAUUGAGGGAAUGCCAGCAAAGGAGAUGUUUCACAAGCACCGACAAAACAUGGAGAUUAUGAUUUGGAAGUAGUCGGGGGUCUGGUCAUGGUGACAGAGUCACACACACAAUUUAUAUGAUAUCUUGGGAAGAUCAGUUCUGCCAUAGUGCCCUUGCUGCUGCUGCUACUUUUAGCCUUUGUUUCCUUGGGAACAUGUUCAGAGUGUAGAUAAGAAACUUAUGCUACUAUAGAUGGAUAUAUGGCAUUCGGUAAAACACCAAAAACUUCUGAAUCUAUAUAUUCUACUUUUCCAAGUAAUUCGGGUGUUGUCAUGAUAUCAUAACCUGACAUGAGUUGGUUAGCAUUUGAGCAACUCUAUUGGUGAAAUGUUAGUUCUUCCCAGGCAGCUAAUUACCAACUCCUCUCUCUAUUUUUUUGGAUUGUUAGAUGGUUAAUAUUAACAUGAGAUGUUAGUUUUGAACUUGUUACUUUCUCAUGAUGCAAUUCUCUAUGCAGGUACAUCGACAGCAAGAAGACGGAUAUUCUUUUUCUGUAAAACAUGACCCUUUGAUUGAUUUGGGUUCACUACUAAACUUUCUAAUGCUUCCUCAUACGACUACCACCUCUGAUUAAUCUCCUUUGGAUUCAGUUAUGUACUUUUGUUUGUUUCCAACUAUUUUUCACUCGGGUUUUUGUGGGUGUUGGUAGCUGGAAUGCAGAGCAUGAAGUGGUGUAAGGUGGUGUUGAUGUGGGACAUUGCAGCCGCUCCCAGAUCAAUUCAAUGUCCAUUUGAAUAUUUUAGUUCCUUUAUGCCUUUGAUUAUAUAUUUUACUGAAUAAUGGGGUUAUACUUGUGGAGAGUACCUGUUUAUAUUUCU